GACGAACGCUGGCGGCGUGCUUAACACAUGCAAGUCGAACGGAAAGGCCCUGCUUUUGUGGGGUGCUCGAGUGGCGAACGGGUGAGUAACACGUGAGUAACCUGCCCUUGACUUUGGGAUAACUUCAGGAAACUGGGGCUAAUACCGGAUAGGAGCUCCUGCUGCAUGGUGGGGGUUGGAAAGUUUCGGCGGUUGGGGAUGGACUCGCGGCUUAUCAGCUUGUUGGUGGGGUAGUGGCUUACCAAGGCUUUGACGGGUAGCCGGCCUGAGAGGGUGACCGGCCACAUGGGGACUGAGAUACGGCCCAGUCUCCUACGGGAGGCAGCAGUGGGGAAUAUUGCACAAUGGGCGGAAGCCUGAUGCAGCAACGCCGCGUGCGUGAUGACGGCCUUCGGGUUGUAAACCGCUUUCGCCUGUGACGAAGCGUGAGUGACGGUAAUGGGUAAAGAAGCACCGGCUAACUACGUG
rnacentral:rRNA from 1 species